GUGAGUUUGGCCGAGUUGGUCUAAGGCGCCAGGUUAGUUUCAUCCCCUCUCUCAAACUCCAAAUCCGAGUUUCCACUAAUCAUAUCACAGACUCAAGAGAACUACCUCUUUCACUGUUUCAGUGAGUCUUCUGGUCUCGAAAGAGGCGUGGGUUCGAAUCCCACAGCUCACA
rnacentral:tRNA from 1 species